rnacentral:lncRNA from 1 species
CGCGAACACGCAGCAGCGAGAAUCUACAGGGGCGUGGUUUGCGCACGCGGGAACUGGGAUCUCAACCCCAGGGCUAGGUGCCUCCUCCCGCUGCUUUCCGCCAGCUGCGGGGUGUGAGAUUAAUCCCCGCCGAUUAGCGCCAGGUGUACUAAGCGCUGGAUGGUUCCCUGACCAGAUGAAACAUCAGCCGAUGUUCUAAUGCCGGUCCCCUGGGCGCUGUCCCCGAGAGGGAAAACCUGUUUUCUGACCCCGGCUCUAGUCGGCCUCUGGAGGUCUGCAGCUGGGUUAUUUUACCUUUGAAACGGACGACACCUGCCCCGUGCACCCCAGCGGCUCCUCCACACGGAGAGAUGGUGUCAGUCAAAGGCCGUCUAGAUGACGAGUUUAUGAAAUUGUUCCUGGCCCGUGCCGGGCACGACCUUGCAGAGAGCCCAGAAGAUGAAACCCCAGCCCUGCCAGGAGCUCACCUGCUAAUUAGGAGGACAACGAAUCACCUCACCUCCCUAGACUUUGCUUCUCCUUUAUUCAGUGAGGGAUUGGACUAGCUGGUCCUUGAGGACUUUUCAGAAAGUCUGGUUCUGGGAGAUGACCAAUGGGAUCAUCUUAUGCUAUGAGCUUUCCUGGAAUGACAGGUAAUGGAGAGUGAGGAGAUUUUACCUGAUAUGGUCCUGUUUGCACCAUCAGCCAGCAACCUUUCUGGGAAGCGUGCUUAUUAUGUACCAACAUAAAAGCUUGAAUAUAAGAACAGAACACAAGAACGGGGCUGAAGCUCUAACAGAAAAGACAUAAGACCCUUGAGAAAGCAUUACUUGAACACAAGGUUUCUGGGACAUUAAACAUGGGUAUAAGUGCUGCUAUAGUACCUUUCUGGGGAAGACUUCCUCCUGUCUCGGGGACUUAGGCAUCAUCAAAGGCAGGGUGGGAUGAAGAAAGUAAGGUGAAUGCUCUGGUAGACUGAGAAGUCUAGGAUAUACAGGGGGACUUCAGGUGUCAAAACAAGAGGAGAAGGCUUCAGAAGCACACAAUGUCAGGGUCAGAAUUGAAGCCAGGUUGCAGCCCAAAGGGGACAGACAGCCCUGCCAGUUACUCGUGCUUCAGAGGUGGCACGGCUGCUCUCGGAGAAGCAACUGACUAUUUCAGUUUUCCCUGACUACAGCUAUAAGGACGCUCCCUACCUGCCACCCUCCAUAUCAUCCCCCGCCCGCACCUAGACACCCGAAUCAAGGCAAUGAAAUUGUCUUGUGGGACAUCUAUGUGCCCAGCAAAGCUCAGCACAUUAUGUGCAUUUUUAUUCAAUAAUGACAACGAUGUUCAAGAUCAGCGCUGUUACUCUCAUGACACAGAUGAAGAAAGGCCUAGAGAUGAAGUCACGUGCCCAAGUCUGCAGGGUCCUGACUCAUAGAGCUGGUAUGGAAACUGAUCUGGCUGGUUCUGGAGCCCCUGCUUUUCCAUUUCACCACUGACUAGGAGGAGAGAGAGGACCCUGAAAUAUCGUUUAGUUCAAUACUUGACUCUCUAGACAAAGAACUGGGAAUGACACAUAUGGGAAAUAAGGAAUUCUCCAUCUGCAGAGGUCUGCUAGGCAUUUUCUCUGAGGAGUCAAUCAUUCACCGUUCUCUCAAAAGCAGCUUAUGCAAAAUAUGAUCUCUUAGCAGCCACAGUAUUCAAUACCCUGAUUAGGUUCAAAUCAGAAGGCAAACACCUCAAGGACAAGAGUUUGCAACAAAAAAGGCAACAACAGCACCCUGGACACUCAUGUCAGGACAUUCCAAUGUGCAUACGCCUCCUUAAGCACAGAGGGAUGCUGAAGAUGAUCUACCAAAGCAAACAUUCUUUCUGUUUUGUCUCCACAUCAAAGGAAGGAAAUUGUUACAUGGAAAACAGGAACAAGUAAUUUAUAACCUAUUUCUGCUUGGUCCUAGAAUGGACUGACUAUCCUCACACCCUAUCACAAGCACUGUUCACCCCUCUCUUCCUUCUUAGAGAAGUUAAAAACUGUGCUUCAGUGAGCUCCCAUCCCACUCAAAGUAAAACCCUCAAUCUUGACUGUGCCUAGAAGACCCAAGAGGAUUCUGGCCCCACUACUCUUCUCUCAUCUCAUCUCCUGCUCUUCCUUCUGCUCCCUCCAUGAUCAUCAUACUGGCUUCUUGAUCCUUGAACAUGCCAAGGACUCUUCCCUUAGAGAGCCAUAGAGCUCCCUUUCUCCCUUCCUUCAAGGUGUCAAAGAAAAUACUGUUUCAGCACCCUCCAAGUUUAUUACACCCAGAAGGAUAUUAAGACCCAAGACUGAGUCGCACCACCGGUUUCCAAUUCUGCUUCUCAGAUUAAAGGAGAACUCUCUUCCCCAUUGUUCCUCUUCUGUGAAUGAGUAGGAGAGACCAGAGACCAGGCCUUGCCCACUACCGAACCCAGAUCUUUGUUAUAGGUUAACUGACUCCUUUAUUGUCGUGUACCUUGCUAAGACCAGAUGACACCCGAGAUGCCAAGACUGUUAAAUCUUCAGUGAGGAAUGUUAAAUCUACCUUUCCACAAAGAAAAAGACCACCUGGACUAAUUAGAUCAUUUAAAUGAUGCAUUAAACCUUACACAGAAAGAUGUUGAAAUUCUGCUAGGCUUUCCCAAGCUUCCUCUGUAUAAAGGAUCCCAAACUUCACUUUGGAAUACAGACUUCCAUUCUGUGGAAUCUGGGCUUCCCACACAGGCCUGUCCUCAACGUUUGUGCCUAAAUCAACUCUAUUUAAGGUAAAUUCUGACCUUCUUGCGUCCUUUAGUUUAACAGGGGUCUCUGGUGAAGUGCCUCCUUAUUGGAGAGGACAUUUCUGUCACCUCACCCUCAUACACUGCUCAGCCCCUCCCCUUGCUUUAUUUUCUCCAUGGUGCUUCCCUGACAUGUAUGCCCUUGUUGAGGGCUUGCUUCCUCUCCUUGACUAGAAUGUAAGUUGCAUGAAGCCAGGGACAUCAGCUUAAUUCAGUGCAGCAUCCCCAGGGCUUAGAGAAUCACCUGGCACACAGGAGGUUUUCAAUAAUUAAGAAACAAAUUUGUGUAAACAGCAAGGGUGGGAGUUGGCAGAAGUGCAUUCUGUAUAAAACACAGGUAUUUGUGUUUGGCUGUUGGUGCUAAGGAAGGCUGUGAAAGGUGAGUUCAAGUUUGCUUCUGAUAUACAUUGGAAAUAUCAACUCCUCUUUCUCCGUAGCCACAACUCCCACUCCCUACCUCUUUUCUUUCUCAG